rnacentral:lncRNA from 1 species
AACGAAAAGCUUGGCCAAACAACCUCAAGUUGAGGAAAAAAGUACUUUUUGUGGAAAAAAAACAUUUUUGGUCCUUGGAGUAGCUUGGCUAAAAGAGGCUAUUAGUGUUAAUUUAGUAUGGUAUUUGUCAAGAAUCCAUGUGUUUUUUAAAGGAUUAGUAUGUCACUAUAGGGAUAUGUGCGAAAUUUGGAGAACCUCUAUUAUGAAAGAGCACUGAAUUUAUCUAUUAUUGAGUAUUCAGAUGAAAUGAGUCCAAAUAGAGCGGAAUGAAAAUAAAGUAUUUCAUAUAUCCAUCUGUGACAAGCUUGUAUAGACAUGAUUGAUUGAU